UCUAAUAUGGCAGAUUAGUGCAU
rnacentral:tRNA from 1 species